GUAGUCUGNAACUCGACUACAUGAAGCUGGAAUCGCUAGUAAUCGCGAAUCAGAAUGUCGCGGUGAAUACGUUCCCGGGUCUUGUACACACCGCCCGUCACACCAUGGGAGUCGGAUAUGCCCGAAGUCAGUGACCCAACCAUAUGGAGGGAGCUGCCGAAGGUGGAGCCGAUAACUGGGGUGAAGUCGUAACAAGGUAUC
rnacentral:rRNA from 1 species